rnacentral:tRNA from 1 species
GUUGAGAUGGGCGAGUUGGUCUAAGGCGCUAGAUUAAGAUUAUGGUCUGUAAGGUUGUAGGUUCAAAUCCCACUCUCAUCA